UCCAGGAGGCAGCAGGCGCGUAAAUUACCCAAUGUGGACUCCACGAGGUAGUGACGAGAAAUAUCAAUGCGGGGCGCUUCGCGUCUUGCUAUUGGAAUGAGAGCAAUGUAAAACCCUCAUCGAGGAUCAACUGGAGGGCAAGUCUGGUGCCAGCAGCCGCGGUAAUUCCAGCUCCAGAAGCGUAUGCUAAAGUUGUUGCAGUUAAAAAGCUCGUAGUUGAAUUUCUGGUGUGGGAGCCCAGGCCUCGGUGCGAAUGCGCCUUGUCUUGCCUUGCGGCUCCUUUGCCAUCCUCGUUUUUCUUUUGAAGAACGUCAUUCACUGUAAUCAAAGCAGAGUGUUCCAAGCAGGCCGUAGGGCCGGUAUGUUUAUUAUGGGAUGAUCAGAUAGGACUCGGGUGCUAUUUUGUUGGUUUGCACAUCUGAGUAAUGAUUAAUAGGAACAGUCGGGGGUAUCCGUAUUUAGGAGCUAGAGGUGAAAUUCUUGGAUUUCCGAAAGACGAACUACAGCGAAGGCAUUUACCAAGCAUGUUUUCAUUAAU
rnacentral:rRNA from 1 species